AGCUGAGAGCCUGGCAAAAAAAUGAGGCAAAAAAAACCGUAUUUUUGUUUGGAGCAGGAACACGUGGGUCUCCGUUUAAACGUCUAAUUGGGAUUCCGACUUCAUUUGUUAUUCAUUUAAUUAGCAUCAAGUUUACAUACACGACGUAUUCACAGACAGGACGGAAAUUCUUGAAGAAAUCACUGCUUCUGGGUCUCUACCGGCAACAGCGAGGCUCAGUGCUUUGGCUGUAGUUACUGCUGUGAAGGAAAUCCUCCUUAUUGCUGCUCAUACUUGGACUAUGUGGGGGGAACAACGAUCUCAGGGAUGGUGUUUGGAAUACUCUUUUUGGUAAUAAUUGUAGGAAUUAUUUUUAUUUGCCUUUGCAUGUGCUUGAAGGGCACAAGUGAAGCGCGAUUGGGCACCUUCAACGCUUUGUACAUCAACAGGGUAACUCGGAGCUGUUCAGUGGAACCACCUCCCUAUAACCAUGACUCUGGAAUGCCUCCCUCAGAUAUUCAACCUCCUCCAUAUACCCCAUCGCCCUCCAGAACAGCCAACCGCUCACCGCCUCCACCGUACCCCACCACCACCAUAACCUCUAAUCAGAAAUUACAAAAAUAAACUUUCAUCAUGCUUUGGCUCCAGAAGCUGGUUGGAAAGCCCUAUUUAUGGUUUUUAGGGCUGAACAUACAAAAGUAUCAAAAGUUGCCUCUGGUACAUCGUGAAGAAGAAAAAAUAAACUGAACACUGCAUUCUGUACGUUCAAAUGACUUGGUUAUAUUAAAGAGGAUGUGAAUCAUU